AUUGAACGCUGGCGGCAGGCUUAACACAUGCAAGUCGAGCGAGCGGCGGACGGGUGAGUAAUGUCUGGGAAACUGCCUGAUGGAGGGGGAUAACUACUGGCAACGGUAGCUAAUACCGCAUACCAUCAGAUGUGCCCAGAUGGGAUUAGCUAGUAGGUGGGGUAAUGGCUCACCUAGGCGACGAUCCCUAUCUGGUCUGCGGGGAUGACCAGCCACACGGGAACUGAGACACGGUCCAGACUCCUACGGAGGGCAGCAGGGGGGAUUUUAGCACAAUGGGCGAAAGCCGUAUGCAGCCAUGCCGGGUGUGUGAGGAAGGGCUUCGGGUUGUAAAGCACUUUCAUCGAGGAGGCGUUACUCGCAGAAGAAGCACAGGCUAACGCCGUGCCAGCAGCCGCGGUAAUUC
rnacentral:rRNA from 1 species